rnacentral:rRNA from 1 species
UUCGGUGGGGAUUAGUGGCGAACGGGUGAGUAACACGUGGGCAAUCUGCCCUGCACUCUGGGACAAGCCCUGGAAACGGGGUCUAAUACCGGAUACUGACCCGUUUGGGCAUCCGAGCGGUUCGAAAGCUCCGGCGGUGCAGGAUGAGCCCGCGGCCUAUCAGCUUGUUGGUGAGGUAAUGGCUCACCAAGGCGACGACGGGUAGCCGGCCUGAGAGGGCGACCGGCCACACUGGGACUGAGACACGGCCCAGACUCCUACGGGAGGCAGCAGUGGGGAAUAUUGCACAAUGGGCGAAAGCCUGAUGCAGCGACGCCGCGUGAGGGAUGACGGCCUUCGGGUUGUAAACCUCUUUCAGCAGGGAAGAAGCGAAAGUGACGGUACCUGCAGAAGAAGCGCCGGCUAACUACGUGCCAGCAGCCGCGGUAAUACGUAGGGCGCAAGCGUUGUCCGGAAUUAUUGGGCGUAAAGAGCUCGUAGGCGGCUUGUC